CACCAGUCCACAAAUACAUAAUUUCCCUCCUUUCAUAAGCUUCCUUCACAACAAUUUCACCUCCCCCAUUUCUUCUCCAAUUCUCUCUCUCUCUCCCAAUUCUUUGCAUUUCAACCCCACCAUUUUCUUCAAUUUGCACUCCAAGUACACUUCGGUAGGGGCCUCCGGAGCAAAAAGAAAAAACAUAUUUAUCAAAAUGCUAGGCGGAGGAGCUGGUGAUUCAGCAGCAUAAUUAUUCACCAGUCCACAAAUACACAAAUUCAUAAGCUUCCUUCACAACAAUUUCACCUCCCCCCAUUUCUUCUCUAAUU
rnacentral:lncRNA from 1 species